rnacentral:miRNA from 1 species
AAUCUCAUUGACUGGAAGGGAUUCCUUCCGGUCAAUGAGAUCUAACAAUCUCAUUGACCAGAAGGAAUCCCUUCCGGUCAUUGAGAUG